GCCAGACUCCUACGGGAGGCAGCAGUGGGGGAUAUUGCACAAUGGGGGGAACCCUGAUGCAGCGACGCCGCGUGGGUGAAGAAGCGCCUCGGCGCGUAAAGCCCUGUCAGCAGGGAAGAAAAUGACGGUACCUGAAGAAGAAGCCCCGGCUAACUACGUGCCAGCAGCCGCGGUAAUACGUAGGGGGCAAGCGUUAUCCGGAUUUACUGGGUGUAAAGGGAGCGUAGACGGCAGCGCAAGUCUGGAGUGAAAUGCCGGGGCCCAACCCCGGAACUGCUUUGGAAACUGUGCAGCUGGAGUGCAGGAGAGGUAAGCGGAAUUCCUAGUGUAGCGGUGAAAUGCGUAGAUAUUAGGAGGAACACCAGUGGCGAAGGCGGCUUACUGGACUGUAACUGACGUUGAGGCUCGAAAGCGUGGGGAGCAAACAGGAUUAGAUACCCCCGUAA
rnacentral:rRNA from 1 species